AACGAACGCUGGCGGCAGGCCUAACACAUGCAAGUCGAGCGCCCUUUCGGGGGAGCGGCGGACGGGUGAGUAACGCGUGGGAAUAUGCCCUUCUCUACGGAAUAGCCUCGGGAAACUGAGAGUAAUACCGUAUACGCCCUGUGGGGGAAAGAUUUAUCGGGGAAGGAUUAGCCCGCGUUGGAUUAGGUAGUUGGUGGGGUAAUGGCCUACCAAGCCGACGAUCCAUAGCUGGUUUGAGAGGAGGAUCAGCCACACUGGGACUGAGACACGGCCCAGACUCCUACGGGAGGCAGCAGUGGGGAAUCUUAGACAAUGGGGGCAACCCUGAUCUAGCCAUGCCGCGUGAGUGAUGAAGGCCUUAGGGUUGUAAAGCUCUUUCAGCUGGGAAGAUAAUGACGGUACCAGCAGAAGAAGCCCCGGCUAACUCCGUG
rnacentral:rRNA from 1 species